rnacentral:rRNA from 1 species
UACGAAGGGGGGCUAGCGUUGUUCGGAUUUACUGGGCGUAAAGCGCACGUAGGCGGAUCGUUAAGUUAGGGGUGAAAUCCCAGGGCUCAACCCUGGAACUGCCUUUAAUACUGGCGAUCUAGAGUCCGGAAGAGGUGAGUGGAACUCCUAGUGUAGAGGUGGAAUUCGUAGAUAUUAGGAAGAACACCAGUGGCGAAGGCGGCUCACUGGUCCGGUACUGACGCUGAGGUGCGAAAGCGUGGGGAGCAAACAGGG